GAAGCUUUGAAUUGAAGCCCGAGUAAACGGCGGCCGUAACUAUAACGGUCCUAAGGUAGCGAAAUUCCUUGUCGGUUAAAUACCGACCUGCAUGAAUGGCGUAACGAGAUGGGAGCUGUCUCAAAGAGUGAUUCAGUGAAAUUGUAGUGGAGGUGAAAAUUCCUCCUACCCGCGGCAAGACGGAAAGACCCCGUGGACCUUUACUACAGCUUGGCACUGCCGAUGGGAACAUUAUGCGCAGCAUAGGUGGGAGGCUUUGAAAUCUUUACUCCGGUAGAGAUGGAGCCAUCGUUGAGAUACCACCCUUAAUGUUUCUGUCUGCUAACU
rnacentral:ncRNA from 1 species